rnacentral:rRNA from 1 species
ACUUAGUGGCGGACGGGUGAGUAAUGUGUGAGCAACCUGCCUUUCAGAGGGGGACAACAGCUGGGAACGGCUGCUAAUACCGCAUGAUGUAUCUUAGGGGCAUCCCCGAGAUACCAAAGGAGCAAUCCGCUGAAAGAUGGGCUCACAUCUGAUUAGCUGGUUGGCGGGGCAACGGCCCACCAAGGCAUCGAUCAGUAGCCGGACUGAGAGGUUGAACGGCCACAUUGGGACUGAGAUACGGCCCAGACUCCUACGGGAGGCAGCAGUGGGGAAUAUUGGGCAAUGGGCGAAAGCCUGACCCAGCAACGCCGCGUGAAGGAAGAAGGUCUUCGGAUUGUAAACUUCUUUUAUGAGGGACGAAGGACGUGACGGUACCUCAUGAAUAAGCCACGGCUAACUACGUGCCAGCAGCCGCGGUAAUACGUAGGUGGCAAGCGUUAUCCGGAUUUACUGGGUGUAAAGGGCGCGUAGGCGGGGAUGCAAGUCAGAUGUGAAAUCUAUGGGCUUAACUCAUAAACUGCAUUUGAAACUGUAUCUCUUGAGUGCUGGAGAGGCAGACGGAAUUCCUUGUGUAGCGGUGAAAUGCGUAGAUAUAAGGAAGAACACCAGUGGCGAAGGCGGUCUACUGGACAGUAACUGACGCUGAGGCGCGAAAGCGUGGGGAGCAAACAGGAUUAGAUACCCUGGUAGUCCACGCUGUAAACGAUGAAUACUAGGUGUGGGGUGACUGACCCACUCCGUGCCGCAGUUAACACAAUAAGUAUUCCACCUGGGGAGUACGGCCGCAAGGUUGAAACUCAAAGAAAUUGACGGGGGCCCGCACAAGCAGAGGAGCAUGUGGCUUAAUUCGAUGCAACGCGAAGAACCUUACCUGGAUUUGACAUC